GAGUAAAAUCUCGGUUAAAUCCAAUUAGUAAGUUCAGUUAUUUUUUUUUUAAUAAAAAAAACUCUGCGUUUUAAUUUAUUUUUUUAGUAGUACCUUCUUCUAGCAUUUUAACCCUUACGAAAUGUGAUGCUAUAUGGAGCGAAGAAGGAACUGCAGAAACUUUCUCGGACCAUAUUUUCCUCUUUAGGUCAACCGCCGUUGAGAUGGGAAGGGAGUUCCCCCCUCCGGUUUCUGUUAGCCCUGGGAAGAAGAAGAAGAGCUGCGAAGAAUCCAGCGAACCAAGGCAGCAGCCAACACGGAAGUCCCUACGGUUAGCUGAACAAAAAGAAUCCAAGGACAGACAGGCCGAGCUCGGUCUCACCACCACAGGUUCAACACUGACCCAGAUUGGCUCUAGUGAGGGAGGCGAUCCGACUAAUCCAUGAAACAUGGGCAUCCACACACCCUUCCAGCCAUCAUUGCAACAGCAAACACUCUCAAUGGUAACUGAUCAUAGUAAAUAGUAUGACAACAUAUGGACCCUUACCUGUUCUUUCACCUUCUCUUCUCGUUACAUGCUUUCCUACUCAUCCUCAAAAACCCUUUCACUACUUUUCUUCCUCUAUAAUUUCCUUUUUACCAAAA